UACGUAGGGGGCAAGCGUUGUCCGGAUUUAUUGGGCGUAAAGAGCGUGUAGGCGGUCAGGUAGGUCCGUUGUGAAAACUCGAGGCUCAACCUCGAGAUGUCGGCGGAAACCAUCUGGCUAGAGUCCGGAAGAGGAGAGUGGAAUUCCUGGUGUAGCGGUGAAAUGCGCAGAUAUCAGGAAGAACACCCGUGGCGAAGGCGGCUCUCUGGGACGGUACUGACGCUGAGACGCGAAAGCGUGGGGAGCGAACAGG
rnacentral:rRNA from 1 species